AGUUGGUGGAGUGAUUUGUCUGGUUAAUUCCGAUAACGAACGAGACCUUAACCUGCUAAAUAGGGGCGAGAACUUCGGUUUUCGACUCACUUCUUAGAGGGACUUUGCGUGUUUAACGCAAGGAAGUUUGAGGCAAUAACAGGU
rnacentral:rRNA from 1 species